UACGAAGGGGGCUAGCGUUGUUCGGAAUCACUGGGCGUAAAGGGCGCGUAGGCGGCUUUAUAAGUCGGGGGUGAAAGCCUGUGGCUCAACCACAGAAUUGCCUUCGAUACUGUAGAGCUUGAGACCGGAAGAGGUAAGUGGAACUGCGAGUGUAGAGGUGAAAUUCGUAGAUAUUGGGAAGAACACCGGUGGCGAAGGCGGCUAUCUGGCCCGUAAUUGACGCUGAGGCGCGAAAGCGUGGGGAGCAAACAGG
rnacentral:rRNA from 1 species